rnacentral:lncRNA from 1 species
CCCUGUAUCAAUUCUUUUUCUUACUUGCAUUACGGUUUGGUAAGAAACCUUUGCGGUUUGUGCAAUUUUUCAUUGAGAAUAAUUUGUAUUUUGGAAAAGACAUUUAAAACUUACUUUUAUUAUAAGUAGGAAACCAAUAUAUUCCUCCAGAAAGUUAAUCACCAGAUUGUCUUUCCAGAAUAACUAACAAAGAAUGACAAAUCACCAGCGGCUAGACACCUCUUUGCCCCCCUCAGGACAGCCCUGGGGAACAUGGGUGAAAGAAUUUUUAUUGCUUUAAAUAUUUUAGCUGCAAAUAUUACUGAUAGGCCAAUAGUGAAUACUGAAGUUUCCAUUUCCAAUGAUAGUAUUGGUGUUAAAACUGCUCCUGCCAUUUCACCAUCGACAUCAUUUAAUUUAUGAGAAAGGGCUCCUGUGAGUUUACCAUCAAUAUUAUUUAUUGUUUUACCUAAAUAAUUCGACCUCAUUCCAGAGCCAGGUUAAGAAUAACAACUAAUACAAAAAAACACAUAAUAGGUGUAAAAGAAAAUUGCAUAUUUUAACUGAUACACCAAAAUAACAAAACAGAUUAUCUUUUAGUUUUUAAAUGAUGAAAGUUCUGAUGAAAUUUAUUUUGGAGUAAAUAUACUUACUUUAAGUAAAAUUUUUCUGAGUUUUUUAAUCAUCAAGUUGGUCGAAGUAAAAUAGAUAAAGCUAGAUAGAGCCUAGUUAAAGCCUAGAGGCUUUAUUUAGCAGAAGUUAUAGAAGUUGUUGGUAUAGUUUACAAAAUUAAGUACUAUAAGAAAUCAGGAGACAUUUGUAAUAAAUUUAUAUGAGACGAUGACGAUUUUACCAUUCUACAGAAUUUAAAUAUGCAUUAUUCCAUCUAAGGCUUGUUUCUAAUAAUAAAAAUUAAUUUUUAGUUUAACAGGUGUUUCGUUUUUUUUAUAUUUAGUGUAUGACAGCAUGCAACCUUAAUCAAACUUUUACCCUGACAAAGUGUCUCAUAACUUGUAAAAAUUAUAAUUUGUGUGAACUUGGUUGUUUAUUCUACAGUCAUAUUAAAGAAAAUCACACUGAGAGCGUUUUGUCAAUUAAAGUGACUGCUACAGUUACCGAAAUAAGAAAAGGAAUA